rnacentral:lncRNA from 10 species
AGCCGGGAGGAGGAAAUAAAUAAAUAAAACAAUCACCUCCGCGCCAAUAAGAGCGAGGGAGAGAGCAAGACGCGACCAGAGAGCCACCGGGGCCCGCUCGCGCGCCUCUGAGAGGCUGUCCGCGCGCGCGCGUGUGUGCGUGAGUGUGGAUUUGCCGGGACUGGAGCUGGAAAGUUCAAACUAAACGUGUUGCUCUCGCCGAGUGCCGAGGCCGCGGCGGAGGCUGCCCAACUUCCCCGGGCCAAGUGAGUGGCGUUGCCCAGCGCCUUUGGCGAGGCGGCGGCCGCUCGGCCCUGCGCCCGGCCGCGGCGGCGGCGGCUCCGCUCGCCCCGGGAGGGAGCCCGCGGCCAGGGCUGGACUCUCGCCCCGCCACCUCCACCGACUCUCUCCUCAGCCUCCGCGCCUGGCACCGCAGCAAGACUUGAAUGAAGUGAUCAUGUAAACUAGAGAAAGGAGAUUAAAAAUAACCUCUGGAUAUUCCUCUCAUGUGAUCUUUAUUCUGGAUGAAGCAUUAGGACAGCUAAUAGCCGUGUGUCACUUAAAAAUCCAACUUGAGAACUGUCACCAAAGAUGUCUAGGAACUUUGAAGAAACAUGAAGCUGAGCUUGCUCGAAUACUCCGUUCUGCACAUCUCUCCUUGUAAUCAAUCUUCGGCAGGGUUAUGUCUUGAUUACUACAAGGUCCUAUUCUCAAGAGUGGUGUUCACAGUCUAGAUCUAAGGUGUGAUUUCUUCCCUAAGACUAAGGACCCAUCAUUUUAGUGCAACCUUCUUCAUUUAAAUGGAGAGUUGUAAUUGCCAAUGCUCACAGCUACUCCUGCUCUGACAAAUGGAAGAAAAGUUCAGUAACUAUAACCCAGUAAUAGAGUUUACCUCCUAAACAUCCAUUGUUGUACUUCAGUGGUUACAAAUUAUCUACUGUAUGACAGCUUCCUCCUGAUGAAUCUCAUCGUCUUCAGUCAUUAUCAUUUUUAGUUCAUCCCACUA